GACGAGGGGAGCCAGGAGAAGGUGUGUGUAGUUUGAGCCCCUCCCUCAUUCUUUCUUUCCAUCCUGUACCUCCCAUUCUGCUCUAGUCCAGAUGUAUUUUACAUUUGAGAAAAUGGGAGGCCAUAGAGGCUGAGACUCAGAUUAUUUAAACAUUUACUAAGGGCGGGCUGUGCUAGGUAGACACACAUUAGAGGAAGUAGUUAGCGUCCCAGUUUUACAGAUGAGAAAACUGAAAUCCAGGAGUAGUUAGCGUCCCAGUUUUACAGAUGAGGAAACUGAAAUCCAGGAAUUUUAAGUAUUUCUGAGGUCCCACAACAAAUGGCAGAGCCAAAAUUCAAACCCGAUGAGAGUCCAGCCCUCAUUACCGUCUCUUCUGGGGCAGCCAGGCCUGACUCCAAGUGGGCCAUAGCUUCUCCUCUUUUGAGACUUACACAAGAAGUACAGUGGAACAAAUGGCUUAGUGAUGGAAGAAAAUACAACCCCCACACCCAGUUUCUUUCCAAAGGGCUCACUUAAACUGAAUAGAGGGUAAGCACCUGCAGAGCCUGCAUGAACUCUCUAAAAUAGAGAUCUGCUGUGCUUAAGAUCCUUCAAUGGUUUCUCCCAAGAUAUUGGGAUCUCUGAAGACAAGGACUGUGUCCCCAGAAACUCAUCGACUCUCUGGUGUCUCUGGGUCUACGCACAUGAUGUCUCCAAGGCCAGGUAUCAUUAUUUAUCUAAAUCUCCGGAGCCAUUGAGGACCAAGAUCAUACUUGCUGAAUAAAUGCACGGAGCAGGAUCAGAGGAUAGACACAGAAUGGGCCAAGAAGAGAAAUAUUAUUCCUCAUAAGAGCUUGCUUGAUUGCAACCACCAAGGACAUCCACAAACCAGGGCAAGAAGGACCAUCCGUAAUUCUUUCCCAUAAAUAGUGACAGGAAGAAAAUAAACGCCCUAUUCUUCAAUGAUUUGAACCACCUCUGGAGCACAAACUUUCUCUAAAUUCACAGGGCAAAUAUCCAUCAUGGGGCAGGUAUCUAUGCUGCCAUGGAAAGUAACAUAAAAUGUACUAAGUCAUCACAGGGAGUUUUAAUUUUGUUUUUAAGGUCAAUUGCCAUGCUGGGGUAAAAAGCAUUGAUCCUUGCCUUUUAUCACCGGAAAAAUUCUUCACCAGUACUUUGUGAAAAUCUCGCCUCAUCAGGGCUGCCAAGGUCAAUGCAACCUAAGUAACCAAGCUGGGAGAUGCUUGCCUAAUUAUUAAAUAUUUAGCAAACAGUUUGUGACUAUUUAACUGUUUGCACCUGGCACCCUCUUUUCACUACGUGAGGCCUCCUGGCACCCUGACCUCUUCCCCCACCCCUACCCACUGCCCAGGCCGCCAGCACCCCUGGGGGGCAAAUACCGGGACCCAAGGGCAUUUCAAAGAAACAGCAGAGGUCACAUUCCAUUUCCUUUUUAUUAAAAAACAUACUUAAAAUGGGGGAGGAGGGCACAGAUCUAAGGUAAAAUCUCUUGCAGUUUUUUCAAGUUCGCAUGCACCGUUGAAAGUUCAUUAGUUAGGGAUUUAAAAGCAAAAAUGUUUCACACAACCAAUUAAACGCCAAGCUUUACAAACGCCUUGGUCUUUGGUUUUGGGAAUCUGUAAAAGUCCGCCUCCCCCCACCCGAGUUUUGCCCCUUUUAGAGCCCCUUUGUUGAAUUACGUGACUUUUCCCGAAGUCAUCAAACUUUGAAUUGCGUCUCUAAUUUUUUUUUUCAGGGCAAAAGCAAAUCAAGAAAUUAAACUUAAAAGUAGGCGACUCGGAGAGAAGUGGGGGAAAGCUCGCCCCAAAGCCAAGUUCCGCAGGACUAAAGCCCUCUUUGCGCGCGCGGGGCGGGGGAUUGUCC
rnacentral:lncRNA from 10 species